rnacentral:rRNA from 1 species
AUUGAACGCUGGCGGCAGGCCUAACACAUGCAAGUCGAACGAGUGGCGGACGGGUGAGUAAUGUCUGGGAAACUGCCUGCUGGAGGGGGAUAACUACUGGAAACGGUAGCUAAUACCGCAUACCAUCGGAUGUGCCCAGAUGGGAGUAGCUAGUAGGUGGGGUAAAGGCUCACCUAGGCGACGAUCCCUAGCUGGUCUGAGAGGAUGACCAGCGACACUGGAACGGAGACAGGGUCGAGACGCCUACGGGAGGCAGGAGUGGGAAAUAUUGCAGAAUGGGCGAAAGCCUGAUGCAGACAUGCCGCGUGUAUGAAGAAGGCCUUCGGGGUGUAAAGGACUUUCAGCGGGGAGGCGUUACCCGCAGAAGAAGCACCGGCUAACUCCGUGCCAGCCGCCGCGGUAAUUC